AGAGUUAUAACCAAGUCUUCUCUUUUCCCCCUGCAGAAGAUACUGGGGUCCACAACUGGACAAAUCAGAUAUUAUGUCUACAAAUUUCAUCAUUCCACUGAUGGUGGAUCUUGAAAAUUAGCUCAGAAGAAAGGAUGUAUAAUCUCAGGUGGUAAUCUCAUUGUCGUUGCAUAUCCACUUGAAUUCCAAUGGCCAACUCCCUUCAGCAAGACAAGUGAGGACAAGGCGAUUUCCUUCCAGAUGAAUCUGAGGUAAACCUGGUUCAGUCUUGAAAUAUGGUGCAACAUCAUCUAAAAUAGACCAAAGAAAUUAACAGCCAAUUAAACACAGACAUGGAAAUAA